UACGUAGGGUGCAAGCGUUAAUCGGAAUUAUUGGGCGUAAAGGGCGCGUAGGCGGCUUGGCAAGUGGAAGGUGAAAUCCCUCGGCUUAACCGAGGAACUGCCCUCCAAACUGCUUCGCUUGAGACCGGGAGAGGUGAGUGGAAUUCCCAGUGUAGCGGUGAAAUGCGUAGAUAUUGGGAGGAACACCAGUGGCGAAGGCGGCUCACUGGACCGGUACUGACGCUGAUGCGCGAAAGCGUGGGGAGCAAACGGG
rnacentral:rRNA from 1 species